AUGCUGAUUGGCCGAGGCUGCCGGGUGAAGUGGACGUUGAUUGGUCAGUUCAAAGCCAGCUGUCAGAAGGUAAAUAAAACGACCAUCAAGAAGGAAGAUCAAGACUACAGCACCAAGUUUAAAGACGAUAUUUACAACGAAAUAAUGGACCACAUGAGGGUUGAGUGAUGGACGGAGUGCUGGAGGCGGCGAUGCGUCUUAGGAAGAACGUCCACCGCAGUGGAGACGGACGACCAACCUUAGAGCAGCGGUGAACUGUUGGUGCUGCUACGACCAUCACAUGCUGCUGUUGUUGACUCUCCAGACUUGUGUGUGUCCAGUGGUGCGUCGUUGAGCAGUAAUGAUGGUUUGCUGGUUCUUCCCUGAGGUGUGGUCCUAGUUAUGACAAAGGUGCUGCCACUAUCACUAGUACUGAUACUACAACUAGCACUGCCACUACCACUAGUGCUCCCACUAGUACUGUCACGACCACUAGUCCAACUGCUACUGUGAGUGUUAUAAAACAAUUUUGUUGGGAUCAGUACUUACCGACAUAGACAUGAAGUUGUCCAAAGUUAAUGAAUGGCGACAACAUCGGCGACUUCUGCUGCUCUCUGUAUUAUUAUUUAUACUUUUAUUCAAUGUUUUUCUCUUGUAAUAUUUUUCCCAACAAAUUUUGUGGGCUGUGAGACCAAUAUAAUGAGUAAUGUAUUUAUAUCCAUUCUUCAUAUGCAAGACAGUAACUGCACACAAU